AAGUCGAACGAUGAAGUCCUAGCUUGCUAGGAUGGAUUAGUGGCGCACGGGUGAGUAAUAUAUAGUUAAUCUGCCCUACACAGAGGAACAACAGUUGGAAACGGCUGCUAAUACCUCAUACUCCUAUUUGACAUAAGUUAAAUAGGGAAAGUCUUUUCGGUGUAGGAUGAGACUAUAUCGUAUCAGCUAGUUGGUAAGGUAAUGGCUUACCAAGGCUAUGACGCGUAACUGGUCUGAGAGGAUGAUCAGUCACAUUGGAACUGAGACACGGUCCAAACUCCUACGGGAGGCAGCAGUAAGGAAUAUUGCGCAAUGGGGGAAACCCUGACGCAGCAACGCCGCGUGGAGGAUGACACUUUUCGGAGCGUAAACUCCUUUUAUCAGGAAAGAAUAAUGACGGUACCUGAUGAAUAAGCACCGGCUAACUCCGUGCCAGCAGCCGCGGUAAUACGGGGGGUGCAAGCGUUACUCGGAAUCACUGGGCGUAAAGGACGCGUAGGCGGAUUAUCAAGUCUUUUGUGAAAUCUAGUGGCUUAACCACUAAACUGCUUAGGAAACUGAUAGUCUAGAGUAGGGGAGAGGUAGAUGGAAUUCUUGGUGUAGGGGUAAAAUCCGUAGAGAUCAAGAAGAAUACCCAUUGCGAAAGCGAUCUGCUGGAACCUAACUGACGCUGAGGUGUGAAAGCGUGGGUAGCAAACAGGAUUAGAUACCCUGGUAGUCCACGCCCUAAACGAUGUAUACUAGUUGUUGCUUUGCUAGUCAAGGCAGUAAUGCAGCUAACGCAUUAAGUAUACCGCCUGGGGAGUACGUCGCAAGAUUA
rnacentral:rRNA from 1 species